UACGAAGGGGGCUAGCGUUGCUCGGAAUCACUGGGCGUAAAGGGCGCGUAGGCGGCCAUUCAAGUCAGAGGUGAAAGCCCAAGGCUCAACCUUGGAACUGCCUUUGAUACUGUUUGGCUUGAGACCGGUAGAGGUAAGUGGAACUGCGAGUGUAGAGGUGAAAUGCGUAGACAUCGAGAGGAACACCAGAGGUGAAGACGGGUUGCUGGGCCGACACUGACGCUGACAGCGCGAAAGCCAGGGGAGCAAACGGG
rnacentral:rRNA from 1 species